AGAAAAAUAGGGAGAUACAUUCUGAUAGCUAAAAAAAAUGUUAAGAAAUAUUCUGAAAAAUCCUGGGGAUAUACGUAGAAUAUACCAGGUAUACCUAGAAUAUACAAAGAUCAGAAGUAGAAAUCGAAAAGAUCUUGAGAAAUUUAGUAGAAACGUUUUAAGCAGGUUUGGGUCAGGGUUUCCAGAGAAUUGAUUCCUGCGUUCUUGUUGCAUUACUGCUGUUAUUGUUGUUGUGUUACUACUGCUGACUACUCAUCCUCCUUCUAUUUUCCAUUAUCCAGGGACACACUCUGAAAUCUUAUACUAAUGUAAAUCUGAAGUUGGAAAUGAAAUAAAAUGCUGU
rnacentral:lncRNA from 1 species